UACGUAGGGGGCCAGCGUUGCUCGGAAUUACUGGGCGUAAAGGGUUCGUAGGUGGUGCGGCAAGUUGGGAGUGAAAUCUCUGGGCUUAACUCAGAGGCUGCUUCCGAAACUGCCGUGCUAGAGUGUGAGAGAGGCGAGUGGAAUUGCGGGUGUAGCGGUGAAAUGCGUAGAUAUCCGCAGGAACAUCCGAGGCGAAAGCGGCUCGCUGGAUCACAACUGACGCUGAGGGACGAAAGCUAGGGGAGCAAACAGG
rnacentral:rRNA from 1 species